GACGAACGCUGGCGGCGUGCCUAAUACAUGCAAGUCGAACGCUUCUUUCCUCCCGAGUGCUUGCACUCAAUUGGAAAGAGGAGUGGCGGACGGGUGAGUAACACGUGGGUAACCUACCCAUCAGAGGGGGAUAACACUUGGAAACAGGUUCUAAUACCGCAUAACAGUUUAUGCCGCAUGGCAUAAGAGUGAAAGGCGCUUUCGGGUGUCGCUGAUGGAUGGACCCGCGGUGCAUUAGCUAGUUGGUGAGGUAACGGCUCACCAAGGCCACGAUGCAUAGCCGACCCGAGGGGGGGAUCGCCCACACUAGGACUGAGACACGGCCCACACUCCUACGGGAGGCAGCAGUAGGGAAUCUUCGGCAAUGGCCCAAAGUCUGACCGAGCAACCCCGCGUGAGUGAAGAAGGUUUUCGGAUCGUACAACUCUGUUGUUAGCGAAGACCAAGGACGUUAGUAACUGAGCGUCCCCUGACGGUAUCUAACCAGAAAGCCACGGCUAACUACGUG
rnacentral:rRNA from 1 species